ACGGAAGGCAGCAGUGGGGAAUAUUGCACAAUGGGCGAAAGCCUGAUGCAGCGACGCCGCGUGAGUGAAGAAGUAUCUCGGUAUGUAAAGCUCUAUCAGCAGGGAAGAAAAUGACGGUACCUGACUAAGGAGCCCCGGCUAACUACGUGCCAGCAGCCGCGGUAAUACGUAGGGGGCAAGCGUUAUCCGGAUUUACUGGGUGUAAAGGGAGCGUAGACGGUUUGGCAAGUCUGAAGUGAAAUGCGGGGGCUCAACUCCUGAACUGCUUUGGAAACUGUCGAACUAGAGUGCAGGAGAGGUAAGUGGAAUUCCUAGUGUAGCGGUGAAAUGCGUAGAUAUUAGGAGGAACACCAGUGGCGAAGGCGGCUUACUGGACUGUAACUGACGUUGAGGCUCGAAAGCGUGGGGAGCAAACAGGAUUAGAUACCCUGGUA
rnacentral:rRNA from 1 species